AAUAAUGGGAAGUGGUUUCAAGCUUAAAGAGGAUAGAUUUAGGUUAGAUAUAAUGAAAAAGUCUUUUAGAGUGAGGGUGGUGAGGCACUGGAACAGGUUGCCUAGAAAUGUGGUUGAGGGCCCAUCCCAGGAGACUUUCAAGGUGAGGCCCUGGGCAACCUGAUCUAGCUGUGCAUGUCCCUGUUCAUUUCAGGGGAGUUGGACUAGCUGACCUUUAAAGGUCCCUUCUAACUCAAAGGAUUCUAUGAUUCUAUUCUAUGAUUCAGUCAUAAAUGCACAGGAACAGGCUGUCCCCAUGUGCCGUAAGACGAGCCGGCAGGGAAGAGGUCACACCUCGAGUACUGAGUUCGUUUUGGGCCCCUUACUACAAUGAAGACAUUGAGGCCCUGGAGUGUGUCCAAUGAAGGGCAACAAAGUUGGUGGGCCCAGCUUUAGGCAAUCUCUGCUCUAUUUACAAAGAAGGAUGGAUUCUCACGUCAGGGAGUGAGCUGAUACACUCUGAAAUUACCAGUGAGCUGCUUCUUACAACGUGAUAAUUGGAGAAGAUUUAUUACCAUGUGUGUUUCAAGUUCUAUACUCCUGCUAAUGGGCUAACAGAAGAUACAGUUAGCCUUUAUGAAAAUGAAAUACUGACCAAAGAAACUCUCUUAACAGCUUGAUGCUGCACUGGCAAGGCAACAUAUGCAUAAAUCAGAUAGCUAUCAGCAACUGUGAUACAUUUCCCCAAAUUAAUUUCUGUCACACAUUGAAAAUAAAGAUCACUAAAGAGGAA